rnacentral:lncRNA from 1 species
UGGCCCCAGGUUAACGCCUGCAACCCCGGAGGGCCACAAAUCAAAGGUGGAUAAUCAUGAUGAGACGGGAGCAAGCUUAAGGGUACCAGAUGGAUAAUCACAUAUUCAUACCAUGGGACAUGCCCCUCGGAUGCAUCCUCAAGAAGUGAGAAAAGUUUGAACCCCAAACCCUAAAAAGGAAAAGGCUAAUAUUUUUCUGUAACACAGCUUGGGUUGAAUAAAAUCUCCAGGACCAGUAAUGUUGGCCAGAAAACAGAAGCAUAAAUUUUAAUACAAUCCAUCAACUAGAUUUGUUUUGCUGUCAACAGGGAAAAUGAACAGAAAUCCUUUAUGUACAGGCCUUCGUGGCCCUAAUAAACAAC